UACCAGCACCCCGAGUGGUCGGGACGAUUAUUGGGCCUAAAGCAUCCGUAGCCGGUUUACAAGUCCUCCGUUAAAUCCAGCUGCUUAACAGAUGGGCUGCGGAGGAUACUAUAAGACUAGGAGGCAGGAGAGGCAAGCGGUACUCAGUGGGAUAGGGGUAAAAUCCGUUGAUCCAUUGAAGACCACCAGUGGCGAAGGCA
rnacentral:rRNA from 1 species